CCUGGCUCAGGAUGAACGCUAGCUACAGGCUUAACACAUGCAAGUCGAGGGGCAGCAUGGUCUUAGCUUGCUAAGGCCGAUGGCGACCGGCGCACGGGUGAGUAACACGUAUCCAACCUGCCGUCUACUCUUGGACAGCCUUCUGAAAGGAAGAUUAAUACAAGAUGGCAUCAUGAGUCCGCAUGUUCACAUGAUUAAAGGUAUUCCGGUAGACGAUGGGGAUGCGUUCCAUUAGAUAGUAGGCGGGGUAACGGCCCACCUAGUCUUCGAUGGAUAGGGGUUCUGAGAGGAAGGUCCCCCACAUUGGAACUGAGACACGGUCCAAACUCCUACGGGAGGCAGCAGUGAGGAAUAUUGGUCAAUGGGCGAGAGCCUGAACCAGCCAAGUAGCGUGAAGGAUGACUGCCCUAUGGGUUGUAAACUUCUUUUAUAAAGGAAUAAAGUCGGGUAUGGAUACCCGUUUGCAUGUACUUUAUGAAUAAGGAUCGGCUAACUCCGUGCCAGCAGCCGCGGUAAUACGGAGGAUCCGAGCGUUAUCCGGAUUUAUUGGGUUUAAAGGGAGCGUAGAUGGAUGUUUAAGUCAGUUGUGAAAGUUUGCGGCUCAACCGUAAAAUUGCAGUUGAUACUGGAUAUCUUGAGUGCAGUUGAGGCAGGCGGAAUUCGUGGUGUAGCGGUGAAAUGCUUAGAUAUCACGAAGAACUCCGAUUGCGAAGGCAGCCUGCUAAGCUGCAACUGACAUUGAGGCUCGAAAGUGUGGGUAUCAAACAGGAUUAGAUACCCUGGUAGUCCACACGGUAAACGAUGAAUACUCGCUGUUUGCGAUAUACGGCAAGCGGCCAAGCGAAAGCGUUAAGUAUUCCACCUGGGGAGUACGCCGGCAACGGUGAAACUCAAAGGAAUUGACGGGGGCCCGCACAAGCGGAGGAACAUGUGGUUUAAUUCGAUGAUACGCGAGGAACCUUACCCGGGCUUAAAUUGCAGAUGAAUUACGGUGAAAGCCGUAAGCCGCAAGGCAUCUGUGAAGGUGCUGCAUGGUUGUCGUCAGCUCGUGCCGUGAGGUGUCGGCUUAAGUGCCAUAACGAGCGCAACCCUUGUUGUCAGUUACUAACAGGUUCCGCUGAGGACUCUGACAAGACUGCCAUCGUAAGAUGUGAGGAAGGUGGGGAUGACGUCAAAUCAGCACGGCCCUUACGUCCGGGGCUACACACGUGUUACAAUGGGGGGUACAGAGGGCCGCUACCACGCGAGUGGAUGCCAAUCCCCAAAACCUCUCUCAGUUCGGACUGGAGUCUGCAACCCGACUCCACGAAGCUGGAUUCGCUAGUAAUCGCGCAUCAGCCACGGCGCGGUGAAUACGUUCCCGGGCCUUGUACACACAGGCCG
rnacentral:rRNA from 1 species